rnacentral:rRNA from 1 species
AGGCGACCCUUUGGGGCUCGUCUUCUUCCGGUUGACCUCGGAUCAGGUAGGGUUACCCGCUGAACUUAAGCAUAUCAAUAAGCGGAGGAAAAGAAACCAACAGGGAUUGCCUCAGUAACGGCGAGUGAAGCGGCAAGAGCUCAAAUUUGAAAUCUGGCUCCUCCGGGGCCCGAGUUGUAAUUUGGAGAGGAUGCUUCGGGCGUGGCCCCCGUCUAAGUGCCCUGGAACGGGCCGUCAUAGAGGGUGAGAAUCCCGUCUGGGAUGGGUGGUCCCGCCCGUGUGAAGCUCCUUCGAAGAGUCGAGUUGUUUGGGAAUGCAGCUCUAAGAGGGUGGUAAAUUUCAUCUAAAGCUAAAUAUUGGCCGGAGACCGAUAGCGCACAAGUAGAGUGAUCGAAAGAUGAAAAGCACUUUGAAAAGAGAGUUAAACAGCACGUGAAAUUGUUGAAAGGGAAGCGUUGGCAACCAGACUCGCCUGGGAGGGCUCAGCCGGCACGUGUGCCGGUGCACUCCCCCCCGGGCGGGCCAGCGUCGGUUUGGGCGGUCGGUCAAAGGCCUUGGGAAUGUAGCACCCUCCGGGGUGCCUUAUAGCCCGAGGCGCCAUGCGACCUGCCCGGACCGA